rnacentral:rRNA from 1 species
AUACGGAGGGUGCAAGCGUUAAUCGGAAUUACUGGGCGUAAAGCGUACGUAGGCGGUUCGUUAAGUUAGACGUGAAGGCCCCGGGCUUAACCGGGGAACUGCAUUUAAAACUGGCGAACUAGAGUUGAGUAGAGGGGAGUGGAAUUUCAGGUGUAGCGGUGAAAUGCGUAGAGAUCUAAAGGAACACCAGUGGCGAAGGCGACUCCCUGGACUCGAACUGACGCUGAGGUACGAAAGCGUGGGUAGCAAACGGGAUUAGAUACCCCAGUAGUCC